rnacentral:lncRNA from 1 species
UGCCUCUGCGCACCAGGCUACACCGGCGUUUACUGUGAGGAGCUGUGCCCCCCUGGGAGCCAUGGAGCUCACUGUGAGCUACGCUGCCCCUGCCAGAACGGAGGCACCUGCCACCACAUCACUGGCGAGUGUGCCUGUCCUCCAGGCUGGACGGGAGCAGUGUGUGCCCAGCCCUGCCCACCAGGGACCUUUGGCCAGAACUGUAGUCAGGACUGUCCCUGCCACCAUGGAGGCCAGUGUGACCAUGUGACUGGACAAUGCCACUGUACAGCUGGAUACAUGGGGGACAGGUGCCAAGAAGAAUGUCCCUUUGGAACUUUCGGUUUCCGGUGCUCUCAGCGCUGUGACUGCCACAAUGGAGGUCAAUGUUCACCAGCCACAGGUGCCUGUGAGUGUGAACCUGGCUACAAGGGCCCUAGCUGCCAGGAACGGCUAUGCCCCGAGGGCCUGCAUGGCCCAGGCUGCACCUCGCCCUGUCCCUGUGACACUGAGAACACUAUCAGCUGCCAUCCAGUCACUGGAGCUUGUACCUGCCAGCCAGGCUGGUCUGGCCACUACUGCAAUGAGUCCUGCCCUGCCGGCUACUAUGGCAAUGGUUGCCAGCUACCCUGCACCUGCCAGAACGGCGCUGACUGCCACAGCAUCACUGGGAGCUGCACUUGUGCUCCAGGAUUCAUGGGAGAGGUGUGUGCCGUUCCCUGUGCAGCAGGGACCUAUGGUCCCAACUGUUCAUCUGUAUGUAGCUGUAGCAAUGGCGGCACCUGCUCCCCUGUGGAUGGCUCCUGCACCUGCCGAGAGGGGUGGCAGGGCCUGGACUGCUCCCUGCCUUGUCCCAGUGGGACCUGGGGCCUGAACUGCAAUGAGAGCUGUGUCUGUGCUAAUGGGGCUGCCUGCAGCCCCUUUGAUGGCUCCUGUGCAUGUACCCCAGGCUGGCUGGGGGACUCCUGCGAACUGCCCUGCCCGGAUGGCACGUUUGGGCUGAACUGCAGUGAGCACUGUGACUGCAGCCAUGCUGAUGGCUGUGACCCUGUCACAGGCCACUGCUGCUGCCUGGCAGGAUGGACAGGCAUCCGCUGUGAUAGCACAUGUCCUCCAGGUCGCUGGGGCCCCAACUGUUCAGUGUCCUGCAGCUGUGAAAACGGAGGAUCCUGUUCCCCAGUGGACGGGAGCUGCGAGUGUGCCCCUGGCUUCCGAGGACCCUUGUGUCAGAGAAUCUGCCCACCAGGAUUCUACGGCCAUGGCUGCGCCCAGCCUUGUCCUCUCUGCGUGCACAGCAGGGGGCCCUGCCAUCACGUCAGUGGCAUUUGUGAGUGCCUGCCAGGAUUCUCUGGAGCCUUGUGCAACCAAGGU